rnacentral:piRNA from 1 species
UAGCAAAUUAUGAAAGAUCGGUGGAUGA